CAGCAGUAGCCGCGGGAAUACAGAGGGUGCGAGCGUUAAUCGGAUUUACUGGGCGUAAAGCGUGCGUAGGCGGCUUCUUAAGUCGGAUGUGAAAUCCCUGAGCUUAACUUAGGAAUUGCAUUCGAUACUGGGAAGCUAGAGUAUGGGAGAGGAUGGUAGAAUUCCAGGUGUAGCGGUGAAAUGCGUAGAGAUCUGGAGGAAUACCGAUGGCGAAGGCAGCCAUCUGGCCUAAUACUGACGCUGAGGUACGAAAGCAUGGGGAGCAAACAGGAUUAGAUACCCCAGUAGUCCCUGUCUCUUAUAA
rnacentral:rRNA from 1 species